rnacentral:rRNA from 1 species
CUCUAUGGCCAUCCCACCCUGAACGUGCCUGAUCACCUCUGAUUUCAAAGGCUAAGAAGGGUCGGGCCUGGUUAGUAGUUGGCGGGGAGCCCUCUCUUGGGAAUACUAGAUGCUGUAGCUC